UAUGUCCCCAUAUCCGCUCCCUCUUGCGUCUCCCUCCCAUCCUCCCUAUCCCACCUCUCUAGGUGGACACAAAGCACCGAGCUGAUCUCCCUGUGCUAUGCGGCUGCUUCCCACUAGCUAUCUAUUUUACAUUUGGUAGUGUAUAUAUGUCCAUGCCACUCUCUCACUUCGUCCCAGCUUACCCUUCCCCCUCCCCGUGUCCUCAAGUCCAUUCUCUACAUCUGCGUCUUUAUUCCUGUCCUGCCCCCUAGGUUCUUCAGAACCUUUUUUUUUUUUUUUAGAUUCCAUAUAUAUGUGUUAGCAUACGGUAUUUGUUUUUCUCUUUCUGACUUACUUCACUCUAUAUGAGACAGACUCUAGGUCCAUCCACCUCACUACAGAUAACUCAAUUUCGUUUCUUUUUACGGCUGAGUAAUAUUCCAUUGUAUAUAUGUACCACAUCUUCUUUAUCCAUUCACGCUUUUGAUUUACCACUUUCCCUGGGAAGUCACACCUCUGUCCUUCCCCUCCAAGUCCAAUGCCUGCAUCCACCCAGCCCAGCUCGAAAGCCCAGUUAGCCUUGACAGGUGUGAAGUCUUUGUUUUUGCUACAUUUUUCCCCCUACAACCUUCAACUUUGCCUUUGUCUGAGCAGAACAGCCGUGAAGGCAGAGAAUUUGCUGGGCUUCUCCCACCUUGCCUCUCUGCCAGGUGUUGCCUCCCGUCAAGCAAAGCCUCCGCUGUUAUCUUUUCAGCCAGAGGCUGUGGAGGCAGCCAGGUGUGGGUCAAGGACUCAGGCUUUAAAACGCCAGGUCUGAGCUCUCACUGGUUUUCUUUGCCCUGAUUUUCUGGUCUGGGGACAAGAGCCUCUGGGUUUGAGCCCAACUAGCUGACUCCGUUUGCCUUUUCGAACAGGGAGGCUGAGGGUCCGGGGUUCUUAAGCCCGACUGCAGAGACACAGAUUCUUUCUUGUUGUCUUCAUUCCAUCAGCUUUGAGGGGGAGGCGCUGUGCAGUCACCUGGCCGUGACCUCUGCCAAGCAGCCACCUCAGGCUCUGAGAGGCAUGGAGGGAGGGUCAGGAAUGCCAGCCUUGUCCACCACCAGCUCACACACGUCUGGAAAGCAAAGGCUCUGCCUGCUUUGGGGGAGACACUGAGGGCAGAAGAAACUUCUAGGGGCCUCCUUUUGCCCUGUUACUUUUAACAGAAGAGUCAGGUCACUGAAGUUAGACUGCUUGCAAUCAAACUCUCAUUUUCUUCCAUCCUGUGCUGGUUAAGUGACCCCGGCCAAGAAAUUUAUCCUCAUCAGGCCUCAGAUUCCUUCUCUGUAAAUUGGGGGCAAUGGUAGUGUCUUCCUAACAGGGUUGUCAUGAGAGUGAAAUGAGCGAACGCACGGUGCACACUCAGCAAACGUCAGCGGUCACUAAUCACAUCGUAGGGCCCGUGUGAACUGGCCUGUCCUCCCCGCUGGCCCUGUCCCUCACUGCUGCAGCCACACUGGCCUUUCUUCCCUUUCUGACACAUACCAGGCUUGUGCCAGCCUCAGGGCUUUCCCCCUUGCUGGUUCCUCCUGGGAAGAGUUCCCCAGAUCUUUGCCAGGCAGGCACUCACCUUCUCCUUGUCUCAGGUCAGAGGUCACCUCUUCCAGGAGGCCUUCGCCCACCCCCAGCCUUGACACUUUCUCUCUCACGACCUUGUUUUAUUUUCUUUGUAAACUUUAUCCCCUCUUGAAAUUAUUCAGUGUAUUUAUCCCUUUGCUUGUGUAUUUUCCGAUCCACCCCAGCAGAGAAAAUUUCCAUUUUCAGGAGCACUAUGCAUACCCCUGAGUGCCUGGAAGAGUGGCAGCAUACAGUAAGUGGUCGGUAACUGACUGUGGAAUGAAUGCAUGGAUAGCUGUAUAGAAUCUCAGCUUAAAUACAUGCAAUCAAGGCUGAUGCUGCUUCAGCUUUACUGUAUUAUGUGCCUGGCAGUCUGAGAAGCCCUUUGUAAAUGUUUCUUCUUCUUUUUUUAAAAAAAUUAAUUAAUUUAUUUAUAUUUUGUCUACAUUGGGUCUUUGCUGCUGUGCGUGGGCUUUCCCUAGUUGAGGCGGGUGAGGGCUACUGUUCGCUGCGGUGCCUGGGCUUUUCAUUGCGGUGGCUUCUCUUGUUGUGGAGCAUGGGCUUUAGGCGCGUGGGCUUCAGUAGUUGUGGUGCAUGGGCCCAGUAGUUGUGGCUCGUGGGCUUAGCUGCUCCGCAGCACGUGGGAUCUUCCCAGACCAGGGCUUGAACCCAUGUCCCCUGCAUUGGCAGGUGGACUCUCAACCACUGCGCCACCAGGGAAGCCCCUGUUUCUUCUGAUUUUAAAAGACUCUUUAAAACUUUCUUCAUGGGCCGAGUGUCUAGUGAAGAAGUCUGCUCUGGAGGAAGGUCACUUUAUAGAAACACAGAUUAAAUAAUCAUAAAAUCCAAUGACAGAUGACAGAUAGUUUUUAAUAUUAAUAAAAAAAAAAUCUCGGACUUCCCUGGUGGCACAGUGGUUAAGAAUCCACCUGCCAAUGCAGGGGACACGGGUUCGAGCCCUGGUCCAGGAAGAUCCCACAUCCCGCGGAGCAACUGAGCCCGUGUGCCACAACUACUGAGCCUGCACUCUAGAGCCCGUGCUCUGCAACAGGAGAAGCCACCGCAGUGAGAAGCCCACACACCGCAACGAGGAGUAGCCCCUACUUGCCACUAGAGGAAAGCCCACGCGCAGCAACAAAGACCCGAUGCAGCCAAAAAAAAGAGUGUUUGCGUAUCCCCAUGAGAACAACAAUGCUAAUGCAUCUUGUCUAAAGCACGCUUUUAUUCUUCACUAAUUAUAUUCACAUCCAAAGUCACGUGUGAGCCCCUGUGUAUAGGUGAUGUGUACGUGGGAUGGACAUCUCUGUCCCUAUUUCACAGGCAGGAAAACUGAGGGUCAGAGCAGAGAUGGGUCUGCUCAGCGUUCUGGGGCAUAUAUGGUUGCCACACUUUAGAAAGGUCUUGGCCGGGACCCUACCCCUCUGGGGAGCCUCCCUGGACCAGCCUCGGUCAGCCGCUGGUCCUCCAUCACACUGCCGACACGUUCCCCAUCUGAGCAUCCCCAGUCACGGUUGCUCACUGCAUUGUCUCUCCCGCUGGACCUGUGUGGUGGCCACCAGACCAGUGGUUCUCAGCCAGGGGCAAUUUUGCUUCCACCUCCAGGGGACAUUUGGCAGUGUCUGGAGACAUUUGCGGUUGUCACAACUGGAGGAUUGGGACACUACUGGCAUCUAGAAAAGCUGCUAAAGACUCGAUAAUACGCAGGGCAGCCUCCACAGCAAAGAAGUAUUUGGCCCAAAUGUCAAUAGUGCCUGCUCUAGACACAGCAGCUGUUAAGCACUUGAGAUGUGGCUGGACCAAAUGAAGACACCAGAUUUCAAAGACUUAGUAUGAAAAUAAGAAUGUAAAAUAUCCCAUUAAUAAGUUAAAAAUGUUGACUACCUGUGGAAUGAUAUUUUGGAUAUAUUGUGUUAAAAUAGAUGGCAAAAAUUAAUUCUACCUAUUUUAAAAAAUGAUUUUAAUUGUAGCUACUAAAAAAUGUUAAAUCGCAUAUAUGGUUCACAUUACAUUUUGAAUGGGCAGCGCUGUGCUAGACGGUACAUGCCAUUUGAGCAGGGGUCUGUCUGCAUCUCUCUGGGUUUGCUCAUCGUUGUAAAUGCAACACUAAGCAGAGAGCUGACACAUGCUGGGUGCUUGGUAGAUAGUUGUGGGAGAAGGGAGGAAGGAAGGAAGGGAAGAAGGAAGAAAGGGAGGGUCAACACCCCCAGGAGCUGCCCUGCUAGGACCCCCAAGAACCCAUUGGUGAGCCCAGAAUUCUCCCUCCAAAUCCGGUAUUUAAGGCAGCUGCCAAGGAGAGCUGCUUCCUUCUAGAAGGUGCCCUGGAUGCCCACUGUCCCUGGUUCCCUGGCCUGGCCCUCCUCUGGGUCUUCUCGCCCUGUUUCCUCCCACUCGACCUGGCCGACAGUAAUCUUGGGUGAGUCACUUAAUCCCUUGUUUUGUAGCUUCUCCCCUUGCAACCUGCCCCCCUUCUGGUCCCCAUCAGCAGGAGGUUCACUUAGAUUUUUAGAGCUAUCUGUCUGAGCCAGGAUCCUCUGGGUUCUACAUCCAGACAACAGGGAAGCAGUCGCAGGCUUUCUGUGACUUUAAUUAUCUCUAGCAAAUGGGUUGAUCAUCCCCACAGGAAAAAGCUAUGAGCCCCAGAACACGUAUUUGGAAACGUCUGUCCUGUCCUGAUAAUGGGCUUUCUGAGAAUACGGCUAAUUCUUCAUCAUUACACAACACGGAGGUGAUUGAGCAAGUGUCAGCCGCAGUGAACGCCAGCUGGAUUUGACUGGAUUCUGUCCCCAAAUAUUAAAAACAGUUCAGUUUUCUUCUCAGCCCUCUAAAGAUUUGUGGAUGGCCUGGGCAUGGCAUUGCGGGACGACUGACUCUAGGUGGCAUCGGGAGAGGAUGUCCAGAGGGGAUCUAUUUUAAUCAGGAACACCAAGUCGCUACACGAUUGGCAACACCUACCAGCCUGGCCUGGAAAUUGGAAUUUACAGGCAAAAAUGACAAGUCUGUUUUCAUCUAAAUGUUCCUGGGAUUUUUUUUUCCCCUUUAAAAAAAAAAAGUCUGACUGUGAGAGAAAACAUGCCCAUGAAAUGGCAAAAUGUAGGAAAAUACAAAGAAAAAAUAAAACUUACCCAGAAUCCCAUGACCCAAUGAUUAUCACUGCAAACAUGAUAUCUUUCAGCCUUCUCUUGUACAUAAAUAUUCAUAAUUUAUUGUGUAUAGUAUUUUCCAAUAUUGUUAUCAAACGGCCUGUGCCAGUUGAAACGUUUUUUUUUUUGCUGUAUAUCAAGAACAUUUUGUCACAUCUCAUGCAAUAGUCGACAUCAAUUUAAAUGACUGCAGAGCCCUUCACUAGGAAAGCAAACCAACACCGACUUAAACAACUCCCCAAUAUUUAGGCUGAUUCCAACUUUUUGCUAUUGUAAAUAACUCUACAAUGGACAUCCUUGUACAUAAAUCUUUGCACACAUCUCUGAUUAUUUCCUUAGGGUAAAUUCCUAGAAGAAAAAUUACUGGUGAAAUGAUUCACACAUAGUAAGACUUUUUUUUAAAUUUAAAGCACCCUUAUUUUUAUUUUAUUUUUAAAAUUUAUUUAUUUAUUUAUUUUUGGCUGUGUUGGGUCUUCGUUGCUGUGCACAGGCUUUCUCUAGUUGCGGCGAGCGGGGGCUACUCCUCGUUGCGGUGCACGGGCUUCUCAUUGCAGUGGCUUCUCUUGUCGCGGAGCACGCGCUCUAGGCACGUGGGCUUCAGUAGUUGCGGCACACGGGCUCUAGAGCACAGGCUCAGUAGUUGUGGCGCAUGGGCUUAGUUGUCCCGCGACAUGUGGGAUCUUCCCGGACCAGGGCUCGAACCUGUGUCCCCUGCAUUGGCAGGCGGAUUCUUAACCACUGCGCCAUCAGGGAAGUCCCCGUAGUAAGACUUUUGAUAAGUACUGUCAUGUUAGUCCGGAAAGUUUAUGAUAAAUAACAUUUCCUAUAGCAAUAGAGUCUUUUCUUUCCCACUCCCCUGCAACUUUGCCAGUCCUGGUAGAUACCAAUUGAAAUGCAGAAAAAAUAAAUAAAUAAAUAAUUCUUCUGCCUCGAGAAGAACACUGUUAACAAUUUGGUGAAUGUUUUUUCCAGACUGUUUUUUGUGCACAUAUGUUUAUAGAUAUCUGUGUGUUUUUCAGAUCUGGAAUGAUGUAUACAUAGUGUUUUGUACCCUGAUUUUUGAAUUCAGUAUACUGUCCUUAUCUUUUAUGAAACAUCCUUCUUUUCCUUGACUCCAUCCUAUUAUACUGGAAAUCUGUACUGUAGCAUCCCUCAGCAAUUCCUUGAUGCUGAACGUAUAGACUGCUUCCGACUUUUCCCAUAUAAAUGGUAUGGGAGUAAAUUUCCUUCAUUAUCCAUAGUUUCUAAAUAAUUCCUUAGAAACAGAAAAUGCUAGAACAAAAACAAUGCACCUUGUAAGGAUUUUAAUAUAUGUUACAAAACUCAGAAAGACCAAGGCCAUCUUCCCUCCAGUAAUCUGAGAGUUGCAUCACUGUCUUUUUCUGUUCUUUUUUAACAUUGCUACUCUGAACGGCAUGAAAAGUUAUCUCAUUAUAGUUUUCACUUGAAUUGCUUUAACUGCUAAUGAAUUUAAACAUUUCUCAUAAGUGUAUUGCCCAUGUGCAUUUCUACUUUUGAGAUUUGGCUCUCAUUUUUCUUUAGCCAUUUUUACUGAUCUGUGAGAGCUUUGUAUAUUUUGAGAGUCUUAAUACUUUGUCAUAUAUGUUGGAACUAUUCUUCCUAGUUGUUAUGUGUUUUUAAAAUUUUAUUAGUGGUGGUGUUUGAUGUCCUGGAGUUUUUAAUGUUUAUGUUGAAUCAUUUUGUCUUUUCCUUUGUGGCGUCUUUUGGGGGAAUGAUUUUUAGGGCUCGUUGCCACAGUGGACAGUUAGACAGAUAUCCAGACUGAACUAGAUGAUGUCACACAUGUACAGUGAAUAAGAUGGCCUUUGACUUUGGAGGAGCUGUGUCGAUCACUUGGCAAUGCAGCCGGUCAGUCAAAAGCCCUCUGUCUUUCUUAAUUUUUAUUAGGAAUCUGUCCCUAACUACGUAGCAGAAAGAGCACUGGGCAGAGUCAGGGCCGCUGACCUUGGGCCGUGCUGCUAACUCACCAUGGAGCCGCCGUCCCCUCAUUUGUAGAAUGAAGGAAUGAUCAGGAUCUUUUCCUUUCACCCCUAAUUGAUCAUAGGAUGACCUUAAACAGGGCCCUAAAAAUCACUCCCCAGUGAAGCCUGUUUUAGGCAUAUAAAGCCAGACCCCCCAAAGAAAGAUAAAAUGAUGACAUCAUAUAAACAUUCAAAAUUCCUGGAUGUCAAGAAAGACCACAAGUACAAUGAAAAGAGAAAGAACAAGCUAGGAAAAAUAUUUUCAACCAUUACAUCAUUAGCUCUCCCCGACCCGGCCAAUGGACAGAUAAUUCCUGCUCUUCCUCGCUCAGAGGGUGGGGGAGGGUGAAAGGAGCCCGGCACACUGCAGGGCUCAAUGCAGGCUUCUUAUUCUCAUGAAGGAAUGAACGAAUCAAUGAUGAAACCUGCAUCCUAGGCGGUGUGUGCGCCUUCCUUUAAAUUGAACGGAGAUGGAACGCCUGGGCCGGGGAAGGAAGUGGUUUCACUUCUGUUGUUUCCUGCGGGGGUCACUGCAGAACCUCUGAGCUCAUCUGGAAAAUGGGUUUAGAACUGUUUACUCCCUCAGUUCCAGCCUCCUCCCUCCCAAGGGAUGUCAGUUGGAUGAAUCAGAGCAUAGGUAUUUUGGCCCAGCCAUUGUUUUGACAAUAGGAAUGAUUAAACUGAUAGUUUAUUUAUAUUACUCUCAUCGUUUGCACCCACAUGUCCAGAAGAGCUUUGUUCAUAGGUGUACACAAGAAGGGGACUUUCUGCAAAGUCAGAAACCGGUUGUGGGAAGAAAAUGGGGGCAUCGUCGAGGCAAAGGAGCUUUUAUUUUUUUCACAGGGUUCCUUUUCACUUUAAACUGGUUCUGUUCUGCUCUUGUGUGGCCUGGAAUGUCUGCUGAACUACAGGCCUGAGGAAGGACUUGAGUUGCAGCAUGAAAGAUUGGGUCAGAUGUCAAGAGGGACUUCCUGGUUUAUGAGAUUGUGUGGGUAGAGGAAAGAGCGAAGGAGGAAAGUCACACCACCUCCUUCCCUGUGAGUAAGAGGCGGUUAGCUUGGAGACACUCCAGUGCCUGUGGGUGAGACCCUCUCCCCACCUUCCCAGAGACCUGGGAAGCAGCAGUGGAGACAAAGCACAGCCCUGCUGGGAGGUUCCUGAGAGAAAAUGCAGCACCUCCCUCCCAUUUCACAGGUGGAGAAACCAAGGCAGGACCGUGCAACAAAUAUUUACCAAGGACCUCCCGUGUGCCGGGACUGUUCUGAGCACUAGGGGUAUAGCAGUAAGUGAGAUAGAUGACUAGCAAGCAAGGUCAGGGACACAGAGUUAGAUGUUGGGGAGUGAUGGGGCUGGACUGGGACAGGAAGUAAUGGGAGAGGAGGGGUGGAAAGCAUCCUUAAAGGAGUGGUCGCGGUAAUGCAAAAUGAACUGACUCACCAAGAUCUCACGGAGAUACAGUCAGAGUCUGGUUUCCUGACUCUUAGUCAAUGGCUCCUCUGGCUCCUCCAGGGUGUUUUGGUUGCAAGUGACAGAAAACUCAACUCAAAAAAGGCUUAUGCCCAAAGAAAAUUGAGUGACUAAAAAAUCUGAGGGUAGAUCAGGAAUGUCUUGGUCCAGGUUCUCAAACAAUGUCACCAAGCCCUGCCCUCUCUCCGUGUGUCUGCCUCUUCCAUGGGGGUUUUAGUUCUCAGGCUCCUUGUGGGAGCAAGAUGACUCCAGCAGCUCCAGGCCUGCAUCCUGGGAGUCAGGCUCAGCAGGACGGGUUGCUUCUCCUUCCCUAGCAAUUUGAACGAAAGUUCUGGGCCUGACUCCCUCGGCCAGUUUUGGGCCACAGACCAAUUUCUGAACUGCUGGCAGUGGCUUAGGGGACAUUCUGCACCAAUUGUCCGGGCCUGGGUCACAGGCCCACCCAGGAGCACUGGGCUGAGAGAAGGGAGAAUGUGUUCCCAGGUGAAUUCUGAGCAUUGUUGGCAAAAGGAGGAGGAUGGAUUCAGGCCAGCCCAAAUCCCGCCAUGACAGCGAUGUCAUCCUGCUGUCCACGCGGUAGCCCCACCAGCCACUUCCCCAGGCUGUAUUGGUCGCUGACCGUUUGCUUCCAUCUCUGUUUCCCAGAGCUCAGCCUUCAGGAUAUAGAAGAUACUUUUCUUUUUUUCAGUCCUCCAGGAUCUUGCAAUGUACUUGAGGAAACAAAUCCUAUAUCCUUAUUUUCAUCCUGUCUUUUUGUGGUUUGCUAAUGACAUGAACUUUCUGUCCACAAAGGGAAGGAUGUCUGUGGGCUGAAGGAGUCAAGUCAGGCAAAGGGGGCUUCUAGUGCAUUUCUAAGGGGGGGGUGUUGUAUUGGGCAAGGGUUUGCAGAGGGUAAAAUUCGACAGUGUGUGCAGGAUGCCAGCUAUGGUCAACUGCACACAUAGCCAUCUGAUGAUGGUUGGUUGUGAUAUAUGGUUGGGAUUUGUAUAGUUCUUGUACCACUGGUACUUUACAAGAUUAUAAGGUAGGAACCAGACAAACGUGUAUUUUAGUAGUCAAGUAUUUACUCUAAAUUUGUGCUCAAAACAAAUAUGUUAUUAACUUAUCAGACCUGGUUAAUAUGGACAGGGGUGAAGUGAAAAUUAAAAAGCAGAAAGGAGGGGGAAGAGUCGAUUUAAAGAAAGCUCCUAAAUGGUUUGCAGAAAUGGCGAAAAAUAUUGUAAUGAGAAUGAGUCAGGUCUGGGAAAUGCUGGUCUAGAGCCUGGCUUCUGGGAUCUUACUUGGAUUCCAGCGUCAGACCCACCGUGCGUCCGCAAUGCAAUUUUGGGCAAAUGGCUUCACCUUUCUGAACCUUCAGCUUUCUUACCUGUAGGAUGGGGCUGAGACUGGGACCAGCUUCGUGGGCUGUGGCGGAACCCUUGAGACAGAUAAUGUGUGUGAAACACUUAGCGUGGUGUCCGACGCGAAUGAAGGGUCAUUCAGUUAGCUAUCAGUAAUCUGUUAUUUUUCACAGGAAAGGGAGGGAAGGCAGCCCAGGUAGCAGGCAGGGCAGGAGCAAAGGCCCAGAGGUGGGAAUGGACAUGGCAGAUUGGGGCCUGCUGUGCGUGUGGGAUCUUGUAGAAGAACAGCAGGGGUGAUUUGGGGUCCGGAGGGGAGGAUGUACCAUUUGAAUGGAAACCCCAGAAGGUGAAUAAGGCUCCUCUGGGGGUUGGGACUCACUGCUCCCUCCUGAAUCUUUCCCCUCCCAGCUGACCACCGACCACUACCAUCCUCCCUGUUCCAAGUCGAGAGCUGUCUGUGCAGGCAGGUCCUCAAGAACUGGGGUGGUGCUCCAUAGAGCUAAUCUAUGUUGUUUAUCUUUAACACACCAUUAAUCACAAAUUAGCUGAUUCUUUUGUGGCCAUAAAUUAAUAGAUUCCAUUAGUAAACAGUCAAUUACAGGAUGAUUACUUUUUCUCCCUGAACCUCGAGUUUUUUUAUAGUUAUUUGAGAGCAUUUGAUGCCGUCUUCUUCCCACUCCUGGUCUCCUUUCUGUGUUCUUGGUUCAUUGGACCGGAUCUUCCAAAUGGACUGCAGAGGCUGUGGGUGGGUGGCGUGGAUUCUCUCUGUAAUGAGCUUGUAAGCAGCAGCCUGUUUGUUUUGCAGAAACAAAACUGACCGAGAUUUAUGUUGAAGAGAAUUUUUAUUUCCAACACAAACCAAAACAGCAAAGUUUCCAUCUCCUUUUAUUUCUGUGUAUGCCAUAGACAUAUUCUAUUUGUGUUUUCUUCAAUAUCUUUCCUACUUAUUGGGCCUCAUUCUGGUAAACCCCUGAUAAUCUUUUUUUUUCUCUACUUAUCCAUCCAUGCAUCUUAUCAUCCAUCCCAGUAUCCAUCCAUCCAUCAAUCCUUCCAUCCAUCCAUCCAUCCAUCCAUCCAUCCAUCCCUCUAACCGUCCAUCCCACCAUCCGUCCAUGCAUGCCUCCAUCCAUGCCUCCAUGCCUCCAUCCAUCCAACCAUCCUUCCUUCUGUCUAUAUACAUCCUUCUAUCCUUGGCUGGAAUUUCCAAGAGGGAUACUGAUCCCACUGUAUCCAUCUGCCGAGUCCUAAAGUAUUCAAGUAGAGAGAUGGAGUUAGUCUUUGGAACCCAUAGCCAUAAAUCUACUACAGGGAUAGCAAACCUAGUGCCCUCAGGGGGUAGGCAGGUACCUUAAAUAACUAAAAGCAAAAAAAUGUCCCAGGGCUUCAGUGAACUGUGGGGUUGUAGCUGUUCCUAAAGCCUUCCAAUUCAAAUUAAAAACAAAAUGCAGUAUCUUUAGACCUUAGGUUUGUGACUGUUGCCGUAUCAGCCAGAAUUCUUUGGUUGCAAGCAAUAAAAACAGACUCUUCUAGUAGGCUGAAUAAUAGUCCCUGACAAUCUCCAUGCCCUAAUCCCCAGAGCCUGUGUAUAUGGUAUCUUACAUGGUAAAAAGGACUUUACAGAUGUGAUUAAGAAUUUUGAGAUAGGCAGAUUAUUCUGGAUUAUCCAGGUGAGGCUGAUGUCAUCAGAAGGGAGGCAGGAGGGUCAGAGUCAGUGGUAGGAGAUGUGAAGGUGGAAGCAGAGUUUGGGGUGAUGCAGGGAAGGGACCAUGAGUCAAGGAAUGAAGGCAGCCUCCAGAAGCUGGAAGCGGCAAGGAAGUAGAUUCUGCCACUUUCAGAAAGAAUGCAGCCCUGCCAUCGUUUGACUCUAGUCCAGUGACUGAUCUUGGACUUCAAACCUCCAGAACCAGAGAAUCAUAAAUGUGUGUUGUUUUAAGUCAUGAAGUUGAUGAUAAUUUGUUAUAGCAGCCGCAGGAAACUCACCCACUAAAAAAACAAAACAAAACAAAUUAUUGAAAGGCCUUUUAGUAGCCUCCAGCUCCAACUCAGAACAGAAACUCAGGGGGCUUCCCUGGUGGUGCAGUGGUUGAGAGUCCGCCUGCCGAUGCAGGGGACACGGGUUCGUGCCCCGGUCCGGGAGGAUCCCACAUGCUGCAGAGCGGCUGAGCCCGUGCUCCGCCAGGGGAGAGGCCACAACAGUGAGAGGCCCGCGUACCGAGGAAAAAAAAAAAGAACAGAAACUCAGGAAAGACCAUAGUCAGGGAGAGUUCUGGGAUUUUAGAGAGCAAAUCUGAGGGAUGAUCCCUUGGGCACCUCUGCUGGGAUAAAAUCAGCAUUUCCCAUCCUUGUUUAAGGCUGCUCAAAUUUCACAUUCCUAGGAGAGGCUCUGAUUGACUGAGCUUGGGUCACCUCAAACUGGCCGCCUCACUGGAAUGGAGUACCCCAAAGCAAAACCAGGGCCACGCUUGAGUGACUUGUCCCUCCAUGCCCAGUCAGCUCUGGCCAGAGAUGGGGCCACAGACUAUAGAUAUGGCGGUGGGGACCCCUCUACAAGGACGGGGGCCUGGGCAGAUGCUCCAGCAUGGCCUAAAAUAUUCCCAGCUCUAUUCCAUCCUUGGCAAGCCCAGCCUUGGGUGCCUUCUAGUUGGACAUCUGAAUUCUCAGCCUCCAGGAGGGCGAUUCAAUCCUUGUGACCUUAGCCUGCGGUCUCAGCCCCAUGCUGAUUCUUGCCGGGACUAAAGCACCCACCUCCUAACCAGGCCUGGUGUUGGGUCUUUUCUCUUCAGCCACCCACCUUUCCAGCACGGGUCCAGUUUUCUUAAAUAGAAACAUAUUUAAAUGGGGGUUUUCAGCCUCAACACUGCUGACAUUUUGGGCUGGAUCAUUCUCUGUCCUGUGCACUGUAGGGUGUUUAGCAGCAACCCUGGCCUCUGCCUGUGAGAUGCCAGUAACCUCCUCCUCCAUAUUCUGGCACCAAAAAUGUCUCCAGACAUUGUCAAGUAUCAAGGGCAAAACCGGUCCCGGGUGAGAACCACUGGUUUGAAGCAUUACUUCUGUCCCUAUCCAUCACCUCUGCCACCACCACCGGAUCCAGGCCACCAUUCUCUCAUCUCAGCAACUACAGGAAUCCUCUCCUUGGUCUUUCCAUUCCCUCUUGACCCUUCCAGUCUAUUCCCCAUAACCAGCUGGAGAGAGAUUUCCUAGAAAGCAAAUCUGGUGUCCUGGCACUCCUUUGUCUAAAAAACGCUUCUGGAGUUCUCCAGAGGUCCUUGACAAUGUCCCAACCACUCACCAUGUUCUCUGAGAUCUGCCGACUUCCCCAGCCUCGUACCCCAAUACCUUUCUCCUUAUUCUCUACGCUUCAACCAUAUCCCGAACUUCUACACAUUCUUCCAAUGGAUUUCCCCACCCCUGGGCCUUUGCACUUGCUGUUUCCUUUGCCUGGAACACUCAUCCUGCCACUCUUUGUUUGGUUAACAGUUACUCACCUUUGAGACCUGUUUCAGUUAGGAAUGCUUUUGUUUAGUUGUAAUGACACAAAAACAGACAGUCUGGAGGCAGUUGGUUUCUGGGUAUUGGUUCUGUGACUCAGGGCUGUUAUCUCUGGGAUCCUCUUGGCCUUUCCCUCAGGGCCACAAGACCGUUGCCUGAGCUGCAGACAUCCCAUCCCUAUUUAAUGCAGGAAGAAGGAGGACAGUGGAGCCAACAGACUUCAGCUUGCAUCUCAUUAGUCACAAUUGUCCCGUGGCAAUCCAUGCUGCAGCGGAGGCUGAGAAGGUAGGUGUUUAAUUCUUGCAGCCUUGAUAGAGGGAGUAAGUAAAGGAGAAUGGAAUUGAGAAUGCUAUCCAUUAAGUGUUGUCUUAAAUGUCACUUCCUCCUGGAAGCCUCCCCCGAUUGCCUAGGUGAGGUCAGCUACUCCCAUUAUAUGCUCUCCUAGCACCCUAUACCUCUCCUUCAUACCCUUAUCACAACUAUAAUUUAUUCAUUUACUUGUGCAUUUGAUAAUGGGCAUCUGAUUGUUUUCUUGGUCUGUGAUUUAGUGAGUUCACUCCUAUUUCUCUGGCCCAAGCAUGGUGCCUGGUAUACAGUAGGACCUCAAUGAUUAUUUCUUUUUUUUUUUUUUUUGCGGUACGCGGGCCUCUCACUGUUGUGGCGUCUCUGGUUGUGGAGCACAGGCUCCAGACGCGCAGGCUUAGCGGCCAUGGCUCACGGGCCCAGCCGCUCUGCGGCAUGUGGGAUCUUCCCGGACUGGGGCACGAACCCGUGUCCCCUGCAUCGGCAGGCGGACUCUCAACCACUGUGCCACCAGGGAAGCCCACAAUGACCAUUUCUUGACUUCCUGCUGCCAAAUAAUUCCUGCUAGAGCACAGAGAGGCCCUGACCCUGUCCGGCCCAGGACUUUUGUUGCCUCUGAGCAGAAAGACAGCCUCUUUUCGUCAUCAGCUUUCCCAGCAGUGGCUGGCCUUGUUUUGGCACGUUUUCUACCCAGCCUCAGUUUCUGGAGCAGGUCCACCUGUGUUUCAGUUGCACGUCUGUCGGCCACGUGCUGAUAAGGAGCGGAAACUUGUAUGCAGAUCAGUUGUGAGAUACGGCACUGGGAAAAGAGGCUGCUCCUGGUGGGGCUGCCCCUGGGCUCUGAGAGGAUGCAGGUUCUGGGCUCUGGGAGGAUGCAGGUUCUGAGUUUCCUGGGACAGCAGGCAGGGCCCUGCCUCCUCAUCCUGUCCCACCUACCUGCCAGCUGGGACUUCUGGGUUUCCUUACUGUGCCCAUUUAUUGAUCCGGUUGUUUACCGUGGGUUUUAUAUUUUUUUCCCAUCAGACAAAGUAACAUCACGUGUUCACACCGUGCAUCUUUGUUGAGUGCCUGGUAAUAUGUGAUUCUGCAGAUACGGGGGAACACAAAACGGAGGCAGUUCUUGUACCCCUGGGGGCGGUAGUCUGGUUUGGCAGACAGACACUGGCGUCAGUCAAAGACAUAAAUAAAUGUAAAACCACAACUACCGCCAGUCCUGGGAAAGAGGAAAUGGUGCCGGAGGGCCCAGCGGAAGGACAUCGCCCAGGGAGGUUAGAAGGGGCUUCCCGGAAGCUGUGAUGACCACGUUCAGAGAGGAAGGAAAACAGGAGGACAGCAGGUGAAGGGGCCAGGAAGAUGUGUUCCGGGUAGGGGGAUCACAUGGCAACGGCCCUGAGGGGCCAGCACGACAGGCUGAGAGUGGUUGUUUCCUGGGCUGCAGAUGGAAAUUCCCUUCUCAGUUAGUAUCCAGGGGUUGGACACUGGCAGAUCCGUGAAUGCCAUGGGUUCACCAUUUAUUGGCAACCUUCUGUGCCCCCCAGCCUGGUGCUAUGCCCAGGGAUCCCCAGAUGAGCAAACGUCCCUACCAUCCAUAACUUUUCUCAAAUGGACAGAAGGGGUGGGUGUACCUAACCAUUGACAAUAGGGAAGUCUGCUCUUGUUCAGACUUAAAGCUGUUUCCAGGCAGAUGGCUCAGUCCGCCAGGUACCUUGGAUGCUGGCUGUGGGCAAAGAACGUAGCUGAUGCACCCCUGGGGCUCUUCCUACCGGGAGCAGGCCAACAGUUUCCCAGGCAGGGUGAGUUUUGAGUUUAUUCAACAUCCAAAAGAUCAAAUCAGAAAAGAAAAAAAAAAGGAAAA